rnacentral:rRNA from 1 species
GACGAACGCUGGCGGCGUGCUUAACACAUGCAAGUCGAGCGGGAUUUGAGAGCUUGCUCUCAAAUCUAGCGGCGGACGGGUGAGUAACACGUGGGUAAUCUGCCCUCAAGUGGGGAAUAACACAGAGAAAUCUGUGCUAAUACCGCAUAAUGUAUCUGGAUCGCAUGAUUCGGAUAAAAAAGAUUUAUUGCUUGAGGAUGAGCCCGCGGCCCAUUAGCUAGUUGGUGAGGUAAGGCCCACCAAGGCAACGAUGGGUAGCCGACCUGAGAGGGUGAUCGGCCACAUUGGAACUGAGACACGGUCCAGACACCUACGGGUGGCUG